CAUCUGAUCUCGUUCGAUGGUUCCGCCAAGCUGGGCCAGGCCCAUCACAAUGCGUUGCACAGUCUUUCUCCUGCGCCCCUAGCUUCUCUCCCCUGGCGAUCCCUCUCUAUUCAACCCUAGCCGUCAGGCCUCCUCACCCCAACAAUCUCCUUCCUCCACCCGUCGGCGUCCUCCACACGUGGCUAGAGAAGCCCCAUCCUCGGCCUUCCGAGGUCGCCGGCGUGCUCCAUGAUCGGCCGUGCGAUCUCACCAACGACAUCCUCGCCAUUUUCUUCCAAGCGCUGCUAGGGAAGGGCAAUUUGCCUGCAUGACUGCGGAAAAAAAUCAAUUUGGAUCGCUGCGCCGCUGGCUGCUGGCCUCUCCCCGCCGCGUUGCGCUGUCCCGCGAAAGCGCCAGUGCCGCCGAGCUGAAGAACAAGGAGACCGGAGACGGAAACCGUUUCCUCUAGGUGGGAGAGCAACUCCCUUAUCCAUGUCCUCCCCUUUUGGAUGCGGCCGCAGAAGUGGCGCAGUUACCAUGUUCCAGCCACCCCUCCAUCAAUGGCCGCUCUGUCUCUGGCGUGCAUCUCGGGGCGGCAUCCCCCUCCCCCAUGCUCUCACUCCAUAGCCCCCGCACUCACCAUAUCUACCUCUAAUGAAGCCUUUGCAGAAUUCAUAUUCUGAUCUAAACCUCAACCCCCUCUUGAUUUCACAGAAUCUAACCAUGUAUGUGUGGUUGAUGUGUCUAACAGUGCAGAUCCACAGCAGUUUGCACGAUUGUAUUUUCCUAGCGGUGCAGAUCCACGAUGCCAUCGUUGUGGUGCUACCCAGAUGUUUUUCCUAUCCUCUCUCUCUCUUCACAUGAUACGCCACUCUCCCUCCAGUUUCCUCUAUUACAAGUGUUCAUCUUUGAUGGAGAAUGUCCAAGGGGCACUGCCACUAUGAACUGCUCUAUGGGGUUUGAUAAUAUGCAACUUAACUGAAGAAUCCAUACACUGUAGGUUUAUUUCUCACAGCAGCAUUUAUGAUCUCCCAGUAUUUAAAUUUUUGACAUCCACUUACAGGAAACAUAAUAAGGUAAAUCAUUUUUCAAAAUCGAAUUGCAUAUAUCUUGAGUAGUAGUGUGCAGUUGUGAAGAAUGACGUCGUUCACGUGAAAGCCCUUGUUCCCCGUCAACUCUAUCAUGCCCCACAACAGUUCCUUCAGAUUUGCACUUGUCGUUUCUGAUUUUCUGGUAAUUUGAUAGGGUUCAGUUUUUACAAAUUUUAGUUGUCGUAUCUCCUGCAACAUUUGUAAUCUCAAGUGUGUAACUUAAGUUGCUUAACCAUGUUGAUAUUGGAAAUGUUGCUUCAAGUUCGACGUGUUUAGGCUCCAAACCAUGUGAUGUCAUGUAGAUAUGUCAGGUCCAAGAGGUGAUCAAAGCGGUGGAGAGGGAGCUGGGUGUAAGUGCUAGCCCUUCAUACUUUGAUCCAUCGAGCUUAUUUGGUCACCACUGCAUCUUUUUAUAUUGUGCAUGGAGAACGCAGGUGAAACAGAGCAUAUUUAUUUGCAGCUCAAAUGGCAAAUGCAGGAGUAAUCAAUCUGGUGUAUGCGUGCAGGUACAAUAGGCCUCAAUCUUUCUUAUGGAGCCCUCGUCGUGCACAAGUGUAAACUGAAAUGCCUUUGUUUGAGGCUUUUCUAACUAUCCAUAACAUGUGCAAUUGCAUGCCUCGGAUCGAAAUAUUACAGAUGAGAUUUGCUAAGUGUCUGCAAGAGCUGUCGGCCCAGAUUUCACAUCAAAGGUAGUUAAUCUAUUUUUUUUCUUUGUGUUUAGUUCAGAUACACUAAUACUGUUUUGUUCAGUUUCGGACGAGCAACAUUUGCAAGCACCCUUUUUUCCUGGCACAACUAUGUACUGUCCAAAAAAGAGUACUAAAUCUCAUUUCAAACUUAGAAAAUCGGUUGUCCGGUUGCUCUUUUGUUUGUAUUGUUUAAAUCUUUUUUUUGUCAAAGGAUGUACCCAAGAGAAGAGGCAAAGCGACUCAAAGUUUUGUUGUAGCAGAUUAAGGAGAAGUAGAUACGACAAUUUAGUGUGAAGAGCCGAAGAUGUAUUUGCCAGACCAUAUGGGUGGUUUAUGUGAUUGUGUAACGUCAAACCAGCCAUUACAACUGCAAUAUGGGUGAUGCUGCAUACCAAAAAAGAGCAUGGUGAUUGGAUAUCAUGGAGAAGACAACCCUUUGCAUAUAAUGCCAAAUGUGUUUUUGCGAGGAGGCAUUCACACAUGGUCAAGUUCAGCGGUGUGACAUGACAUUAUUAUCGCCAAUGUAACCAUGUCCGGUGGCCACUUGGGUCUGUCCAUGGACAUGUUUACAGCCACAUAACAUCUGGUGCGAGCAUGACAAUGACAGAUUAGGAACAGAGAGAGUCGGAGAGGGGGCUGCUGAGAGGCCACUCCUUCCAACCCUUUCAUCACCGGAUUAGGAGCCAACUGCCAAACAUAGCAGCGCUGGAGAGAAGCGACGGGACAUGCACAUGAGGCCGCACAUGAUACUAGGGGCUGGACACCGUUAAUUAGUUUGCAGCAGAGGCAACGAGGUGAAAAUUUCUAGGCUGAUUGAGGCAACACAGUGAGAACAUGAACUGGCGGUUUGGGGAUUUUUAUUUUGUGCGGUCCGGUGUGGGAUUCGGGGAUUUUUGCUCCGGUGUGGUGGCCGGUGUGUCGUGACUCGCGAGCAAGGCUACCCCUGGUAACUACAUGAGCUGUGGUGAGCAAGCGUUGAAACCGUCAUGGCGUCCAUGUAUGCGCCCAGAGAGAGUUGAGGGGGACUAGAUUAAUUUGUGGUAGAAUUAGUAUAAUGAAUUUUACAUACAUAUAUGAGGCUACUUACUAAAGUUUACUACUAAUUGAGAUUU